rnacentral:tRNA from 1 species
CGGCUUGCAGUCAAAUUAACCCACCGUCAUGGGGUGUCGGGGGUCGGAGGUUCAAAUCCUCUCGUGCCGACCA